CGGCUAUGAAGAUAUAUGCCAUGGAAUGCAUUCCGUUGAACAACGUCGGUAUCGUCGUUAAAAUGAAAAUCAAAUAAAGAAAAUUGGAACCUUCGCCGAGCUUCUCGAGUGCAUUUAAAAGCGGCUCUCUCUGAUCGACUUGAAUAUCGUCCGACGUCGAUGAUGGAUGAAACAUACUGGAUAUAGUAACAGAUUAGUUAAACACGCGUAUGAUAAUAGAGUUCGUUUUGUAUGAUCACCGGAAAUGUACAUCACUAUUGAAGUGAGUACCGCACUCGGGAAGUUAAUAUUUUAAAAGGGGAAGUGCGUAGAAGUUCACGGUUAUCUUAAAUUAUCAACAAAAUACAAACGUUGGAAAAAUCUUCCGAUCGUAGGUUAUUCGAACACUUAUGUCACGAAGAAGUAGCAACAAGACUAAAGGUCUGGUUGAAAGUGCAUGACGAUCCUUCAGUUCUUAGUCGAUCGGCGAUCUGAUAACAUUUUGUAGCAUGAACGUCGUAAACAAGAUUGAAGAAGGCAUUUGCUAGAUGACUCAAUGCUCUUCCCCAAGAAUCAACUUUAUAAUUUAAUUCCUGUACGAGGGAGAAUGGUUCCUUGGUAUUAGUGUUUUCAACUUGUCUAAAAAGAAAAAGGGAGAGGAUGAUCGUCAAAUCCUGAAGGACAUUCUACGAUGCACUAAAUUCUUCCCUUUCAUCGAACAACUCCUUAGGGAUCGUGAUCGAAGCCUAGGAUUUCGUCGGACAUUAAUUCGAAUCACUUCCAGUAGGACGCAUAACGCUUAACCCCUUUACUUCAUCAACGAGACGUCAACGUGAUUGAACAUCUAGAGAAGGAUUUCGAGGAUGCCAGAUUGUUGUCCAGGAUGAAAUUUAAUCAAGGUGGACAAUCCAUCGAUGCAGUUGAAUGAAUUUUCCCUUUGAAGUUGGACGGGUCAAUCGAAUUGUCUUGUUCUCCAUCAAAAACUCGUCUCGAAAGGAGAAUACACUAACUCGUUCUACGCAGCACGUUGCAAGAGGAGAUUUGUUAUCUGGAUCAGAUUUAAGUGCGGAUAUUUAAUAUUGUUUAAAAAUAUCAUCAGGGAUCGAAGUUUUGUUCACGGACAGAAUGGAUUCCUUUCGAUUAACAGCAGGGUGUACGAUCCUGCUUCGCAGUCAUGGCCAUUAAUCUUCGAUUAAGUGCUCAACGAUUCGGUCAAGGGGAGCCAAGGCUGUCAGCCACCAGUAUGUCACCGUACAGACCAGCACCCCAACACAAUGACGGCCAUGCAUGCGAUCGAUAUGUGCACUCGACGGAAACGACCCAACGAAAGGUCGAUUAAAGUGAAAUCACGACUUGCCGUGAGUUGUCUGCGUAAGCUGAAAAAGGUUUUAUACUUUUGUUAUAAAACGAUGUUCUCGCGAUUGAAAAAAUUGUUUAAACCGUUUCAUUGCCUAUUAUUAAAUUAAUUUAAACAAUUGCAGACUGUAAUAGUUUUUCAUUUUUCUUUAUUGAUACUUAUCGAUAUGAUUGUAGUUAGUUUGGAUGUUGAAAGAUUUGAUUCGGGUAAUGUUUGAUUGGUUGUUGGGAGCGGGGUACAUGUAUCAACAAAAACCGAUCGAAUCCCCUAAAAUUCUAGAUCCCAAUAGAAUCUGUCUGGAUCCUGAACCUUCUGUCGCGUUAUGCACACAGUGAUAUAUCGUCGACAUAAUGGUUCUAUUGAAGCAUUACCAUUAUUGGCAAGAUUUGGGGAAACGAUCGAGCGUGCUAACGGAUUCGUCGCAGCUUGCUAGCUGUUUGCAAAUAGCUUCUCUCUCUUUCUCUCUCUUUCUCUUUAUACGAAAUUAUUGAUCGAAUGUUAAACUACGUGACGAAUUUCUAUGAUGUAUAUCUAGUAAAUUACCUGUAAAAUAUAUUUCUAAUUGCCUUUAAAUUUACGCGAGCGUGAUAUCAUUUUGAGGAAUUUUCAAAAUCAAAAAUGGCUACGACGAUAACGAUAAGAAUCAAUAAAAAGCUUUCUAACGGACGAUACAAUACAUUCUUAUGUUAUUUUAAAAUUAUUAUCUACUUUUUCAUUUUUGUUUGUUCGGAUGGCACCAUCAGAUUCGAUUAGCAACUGUUGUU